rnacentral:rRNA from 1 species
GACGAACGCUGGCGGCGUGCCUAAUACAUGCAAGUCGAACGCAUUUUCUUUCACCGUAGCUUGCUACACCGAAAGAAAAUGAGUGGCGAACGGGUGAGUAACACGUGGGUAACCUGCCCAUCAGCGGGGGGAUAACACUUGGAAACAGGUGCUAAUACCGCAUAAUUUCAUUUACCGCAUGGUAGAUGGAUGAAAGGCGCUUUUGCGUCACUGAUGGAUGGACCCGCGGUGCAUUAGCUAGUUGGUGGGGUAACGGCCUACCAAGGCUGCGAUGCAUAGCCGACCUGAGAGGGUGAACGGCCACAAGGGGACUGAGACACGGCCCUU